rnacentral:rRNA from 1 species
GACAGAGGCCCCAAGCGUUAUGCGGAAUCACUGGGCUUAAAGCGUGUGUAGGCGGACGCCUAAGUGUCUUGUGAAAUCCCACGGCUCACCCGUGGAACUGCUGGGCAUACUGGGCGUCUUGGGCCAACUAGGGGCAGCCGGAACAAGCGGUGGAGCGGUGAAAUGCGUAGAUAUCGCUUGGAACGCCGAAGGUGAAAACAGGCUGCUGGGGUUGUGCCGACGCUGAGACACGAAAGCCAGGGGAGCAAACGGG